UAUGGGAUUGUUCAAAUCUCAGGACGUUACUAUCUGGAGGACAGUCACCUAAGGCAGAGUCAAUAGUAGAGAGUUUUGACAAUUACAAGUCUCUUGGAUCAACUCUGGAGGGCCAAUACACUCUUCGCAAUCUUAAUGAAAUUUAUUUUUGGAACUGUUCCAGUCUUGUUUUGGGCCGGGAAAUUGUGCUUUCUAACAAUAUUUCAGCAGUUUGUUUCUCUGGAUGUGAGAAGAUACAAGCACUACCAAGCGGCAUGCACACCGUCAAAUCUGUUGGACACUUAACCAUAUCGAAAUGUCCAAGUAUGGCAUUGUUUCCAGAAGAAGAUAUUCCCGACAAUAUAACGUCACUUUAUGUUGGUGAACCCAAAAUCUACAACUCACUGGCUGGGUGGGGCUUCCACAAAUUCACCUCUCUUAGAAGACUCGUAAUUGGGGGAUACCCAAAUGCAGUGUCUUUCCCUGAGGAGGAGAUGGGAAUGAAGUUGCCAUCCUCUCUUAGAAGCCUCAUAGUUGAUGGAUUCCCAAAAUUAAAGCACCUAUUUCCCAUGGGUUUCCAAGAUCUCAUCUCUCUUGAAUGCUUGUGGAUCCAGGAUUGCCCAAAUCUCACAGCUUUGCUAGAUUUUCCAUCUUCGCUUCUGUUACUUGAAAUUCGUAGUUGCCAAAAUCUCACAUCCUUACCAGACCUUCCAUCCUCGCUUCUGACACUAAAUGUUUUUAAUUGUCCUUUGCUGAAACAACGUUGCAAAAGGGAUAAAGGACAAGAGUGGCCCAAGAUAACCCACAUCCCUUGCGUUAUGAUAGAUUCCAAGUACAUUUACGGUCCAGAGGAAGAAGAAUGAAGUCAAUUUGCAUUCAGAAUGAAAAAGGCUGAAUCUGUCAAUUACCUCAUUUCAUUCCUAUGAGCCAUUCAGGGACCAACCAAACAGUCUCAACUCCGGGAUGCCAUGAGUGGCAGUGCAGUGUACAAAGUUUCAAAGUGAGUGGGAAGAAGAUGAUUGAAGUACAUCAUUCUUUCAGAAUCUGAGUCUUAAAAGCUUUUCAUGUUAUUAGUGAGUGAUCUUAAGAGAAGCUGCGAUGGCAAAGUUGACAGGUAGUCUUUCCUCUAAUAAUGGGUGGAGCUCAAUCUUUCAUGGGAUGGAAUGUAUCAUUUUGAAAUCAGUGUAGUCAUUUUGAAGCAAGUGGGCAAUUUAAUCCAGAAUUGGAAUACAAAUUCCAGUCAGAAUUUAAGACUUCAUGCUUGCCGCAUUAUGAUGAAUUAAGCAUAGAUGUUGAUGAAAGUUUCAUCUCUUUUGCUGAAGUUAACUGCUUCUUCAUCUCAUUGAUUCUCUGAAAUAUUCAGGGUUAAAAGGUAGAUCUUCUUUUAAUGAGACAAAUGAAGCUGAUUCGGAUGUGGUUGGCAACAAUACACUCUUCUAAGUAGAGCUUUGGAUUUUAUAUAUAUAUAUAUAUAUUUUCUUUUUCUUUUCU